rnacentral:rRNA from 1 species
AAUGAACGUUGGCGGCGUGGAUUAGGCAUGCAAGUCGAGCGGAAAGGCCCGCAAGGGCACUCGAGCGGCGUAAGGGACAGUAAUGUGUAGGUACGUACCCCUGGGUCUAGGAUAGCUGCGGGAAACUGCAAUUAAUACUAGAUGAUGUCUCCGGACCAAAGGUGUGAUUCCACCCAGGGAGCGGCCUACAUCCUAUUAGCUAGUUGGUGAGGUGACGGCUCACCAAGGCGAAGAUGGGUAGCAGGUGUGAGAGCACGACCUGCGUCACUGGGACUGAGACACUGCCCAGACACCUACGGGUGGCUGCAGUCGAGAAUCUUCGGCAAUGGGCGAAAGCCUGACUGAGCGACGCGCGUGCGGGAUGAAGGCCUGG